UACGUAGGGUGCGAGCGUUAAUCGGAAUUACUGGGCGUAAAGCGUGCGCAGGCGGCUAUUUAAGCUUGCUGUGAAAGCCCCGGGCUUAACCUGGGAACUGCAGUGAGGACUGGAUGGCUGGAGUGUGGCAGAGGAGACUGGAAUUCCUGGUGUAGCAGUGAAAUGCGUGAGAUAUCAGGAGGAACACCGAUGGCGAAGGCAGGUCUCUGGGCUGACACUGACGCUCAUGCACGAAAGCGUGGGGAGCAAACAGG
rnacentral:rRNA from 1 species